rnacentral:rRNA from 1 species
AACGAACGCUGGCGGCAUGCCUAACACAUGCAAGUCGAACGAGACCUUCGGGUCUAGUGGCGCACGGGUGCGUAACGCGUGGGAACCUGCCCUUAGGUUCGGAAUAACUCCCCGAAGGGGGUGCUAAUACCGGAUAAUGUCUUCGGACCAAAGAUUUAUCGCCUUUGGAUGGGCCCGCGUUGGAUUAGCUAGUUGGUAGGGUACAAGCCUACCAAGGCGACGAUCCAUAGCUGGUCUGAGAGGAUGAUCAGCCACACUGGGACUGAGACACGGCCCAGACUCCUACGGGAGGCAGCAGUGGGGAAUAUUGGACAAUGGGCGAAAGCCUGAUCCAGCAAUGCCGCGUGAGUGAUGAAGGCCUUAGUGUUGUAAAGCUCUUUUACCCGGGAUGAUAAUGACAGUACCGGGAGAAUAAGCUCCGGCUAACUCCGUG